rnacentral:rRNA from 1 species
AUUGAACGCUGGCGGCAGGCCUAACACAUGCAAGUCGAGCGGAUGAAGGGAGCUUGCUCCUGGAUUCAGCGGCGGACGGGUGAGUAAUGCCUAGGAAUCUGCCUGGUAGUGGGGGAUAACGUCCGGAAACGGGCGCUAAUACCGCAUACGUCCUGAGGGAGAAAGUGGGGGAUCUUCGGACCUCACGCUAUCAGAUGAGCCUAGGUCGGAUUAGCUAGUUGGUGGGGUAAAGGCCUACCAAGGCGACGAUCCGUAACUGGUCUGAGAGGAUGACCAGUCACACUGGAACUGAGACACGGUCCAGACUCCUACGGGAGGCAGCAGUGGGGAAUAUUGGACGAUGGGCGAAAGCCUGAUCCAGCCAUGCCGCGUGUGUGAAGAAGGUCUUCGGAUUGUAAAGCACUUUAAGUUGGGAAGAAGGGCAGUAAGUUAAUACCUUGCUGUUUUGACGUUACCAACAGAAUAAGCACCGGCUAACUUCGUG